rnacentral:sRNA from 1 species
UCUCGAUCUCCUGACCUCGUGAUCUGCCUGACCUUGUAAUCCGCCUACCUUGGCCUCCCAAAGUGUUGGGAUUACAGGCGUGAGCCACCGCGCCCGGCCAACAUCACGUUUUUAAAAAUUGAUUUCUUCAAAUUCAUGGCAAAUAUUUCCCUUCCCUUUAACUUCUUAUGUCAGAAUGAGGAAGGAUAGCUUUAUUUAUUUAGUCAGUUUUUAUUGCAUAGUAAUAUUUUCAUCAGUAUUUUCUAAGUUAUAUUUUAGUAAUUCAUAUGUUUUAGAUUAUAGGUUUUAACAUACUUGUGAAAACACUUGAUGUGUUUUAAAGCCUUGGGUAGAAAUUCUGUGUUGUUGAGGAUUUGUUCUUUUAUCCCCCUUUUAAAGUCAUCCGUCCUUGGCUCAGGAUUUGGAGAGCUUGCACCACCAAAAAUGGCAAACAUCACCAGCUCCCAGAUUUUGGACCAGUUGAAAGCUCCGAGUUUGGGCCAGUUUACCACCACCCCAAGUACACAGCAGAACAGUACAAGUCACUCUACAACUACUACUUCUUGGGACCUCAAGCCCCCAACAUCCCAGUCCUCAGUCCUCAGUCAUUUUGACUUCAAAUCUCAACCUGAGCCAUCCCCGGUUCUUAGCCAGUUGAGCCAGCGACAACAGCACCAGAGCCAGGCAGUCACUGUUCCUCCUCCUGGUUUGGAGUCCUUUCCUUCCCAGGCGAAACUUCGAGAAUCAAUGCCUGGAGACAGUCCCUCCACUGUGAACAAGCUUUUGCAGCUUCCCAGCAUGACCAUUGAAAAUAUCUCUGUGUCUGCCCACCAGCCACAGCCCAAACACAUCAAACUUGCUAAGCGGCGGAUACCCCCAGCUUCUAAGAUCCCAGCUUCUGCAGUGGAAAUGCCUGGUUCAGCAGAUGUCACAGGAUUAAAUGUGCAGUUUGGGGCUCUGGAAUUUGGGUCAGAAUCUUCUCUCUCUGAAUUUGGAUCAGCUCCAAGCAGUGAAAAUAGUAAUCAGAUUCCCAUCAGCUUGUAUUCGAAGUCUUUAAGUGAGCCUUUGAGUACAUCUUUACCAAUGACCAGUGCAGUACAGAACUCCACAUAUACAACUUCUGUCAUUACCUCCUGCAGUCUGACAAGCUCAUCACUGAGUUCUGCUAGUCCAGUAGCAAUGUCUUCCUCUUACGACCAGAGUUCUGUGCAUAACAGGAUCCCAUACCAAAGCCCUGUGAGUUCAUCAGAGUCAGCUCCAGGAACCAUCAUGAAUGGACAUGGUGGGGGUCGAAGUCAGCAGACACUAGACAGUAAGUAUAGCAGCAAGCUUACUCUUGUCAUGGCUGGUGCCAACCAAACAGAGGAAGAGGAUAGCUCACGUGAUGUGGAAAACACCAGUUGGUCAAUGGCUCGUUCGUUAAAAAGCAGCCCUUUUGCUUUUUUUUUUUUUUGGACCAGGUGUUGGCUGUGGUGUUAUUAGAAAUGUCUUAGCCACACAAGAAGGAGGUGAUGGUCUCAUAUUCUUGUGCCCUAAUCAGACUGCACCACAAGCGCAGCAUACAGUAUGCAUUUUAAAGAUGCUUGGGCCAGGCGGGGUGGCUUAUGCCCAUAAUCCCAGUGCUUUGGGAGGCCAAGGCGGGCAGAUUGCCCAAGCUCAGGAGUUUGAGACCACCCUGGGCAACAUGGUGAAACUCUGUCUCUACUAAAAUAUGAAAAAUUAGCCAGGUGUGGUGGCGCAUGCCUGUAAUCCCAGCUACUUGGGAGGCUGAGGCACAAGAAUCGCUUGAGCCAGCUUGGGCUACAAAGUGAGACUCUGUCUCAAAAAA